rnacentral:rRNA from 1 species
UACGUAGGUGGCGAGCGUUGUCCGGAUUUACUGGGCGUAAAGCGCGUGUAGGCGGUUUGUUAAGUCGAGUGUGAAAUCCCUGGGCUCAACCGAGGAAGUGCAUUCGAAACUAACUGGCUAGAAGACGGUAGAGGAAGGUGGAAUUCCAAGUGUAGAGGUGAAAUUCGUAGAUAUCGGGAGGAACACCGGUGGCGAAGGCGGCGACCUGGGUCGAGACUGACGCUGAGGCGCGAAAGCGUGGGGAGCAAACAGG